GACGAACGCUGGCGGCGUGCUUAACACAUGCAAGUCGAACGGAAAGGCCCUGCUUUUGUGGGGUUCUCGAGUGGCGAACGGGUGAGUAACACGUGAGUAACCUGCCCUUGACUUUGGGAUAACUUCAGGAAACUGGGGCUAAUACCGGAUAGGAGCUCCUGCUGCAUGGUGGGGGUUGGAAAGUUUCGGCGGUUGGGGAUGGACUCGCGGCUUAUCAGCUUGUUGGUGGGGUAGUGGCUUACCAAGGCUUUGACGGGUAGCCGGCCUGAGAGGGUGACCGGCCACAUUGGGACUGAGAUACGGCCCAGACUGCUACGGGAGGCAGAAGUGGGGAAUAUUGCACAAUGGGCGGAAGCCUGAUGCAGCAACGCCGCGUGCGGGAUGACGGCCUUCGGGUUGUAAACCGCUUUCGCCUGUGACGAAGCGUGAGUGACGGUAAUGGGUAAAGAAGCACCGGCUAACUACGUG
rnacentral:rRNA from 1 species